rnacentral:rRNA from 1 species
UGGGGAAUAUUGGACAAUGGACGAAAGUCUGAUCCAGCGAUUCUGCGUGGAGGAUGAAGCAUUACGGUGUGUAAACUCCUUUUCUGGUGGAAGACGAAUGACGGUACACCAGGAAUAAGCAUCGGCUAACUAUGUGCCAGCAGCCGCGGUAAUACAUAGGAUGCAAGCGUUAUCCGGAGUCACUGGGCGUAAAGGGUUCGCAGCCGGAUCUAUAAGUCUGUUUUCAAAUUCUUUCGCUCAACGAAAGGCA